CCUACGGGGGGCUGCAGUGGGGAAUAUUGGACAAUGGGGGCAACCCUGAUCCAGCCAUGCCGCGUGUGUGAAGAAGGCCCUCGGGUUGUAAAGCACUUUCAGUGAGGAAGAACGCCUGGUGGUUAAUACCCAUCAGGAAAGACAUCACUCACAGAAGAAGCACCGGCUAACUCCGUGCCAGCAGCCGCGGUAAUACGGAGGGUGCGAGCGUUAAUCGGAAUUACUGGGCGUAAAGCGCGCGUAGGUGGCUUGAUAAGCCGGUUGUGAAAGCCCCGGGCUCAACCUGGGAACGGCAUCCGGAACUGUCAAGCUAGAGUGCAGGAGAGGAAGGUAGAAUUCCCGGUGUAGCGGUGAAAUGCGUAGAGAUCGGGAGGAAUACCAGUGGCGAAGGCGGCCUUCUGGACUGACACUGACACUGAGGUUCGAAAGCGUGGGUAGCAAACAGGAUUAGAUACCCUUGUAGUC
rnacentral:rRNA from 1 species